rnacentral:rRNA from 1 species
CACACCGCCCGUCACACCAUGGGAGUUGGUUUGACCUGAAGACGGUGCGCUAACCCGCAAGGGAGGCAGCCGGCCACGGUCAGGUCAGCGACUGGGGUG